ACGGGAGGCAGCAGUAGGGAAUAUUGCACAAUGGGGGGAACCCCGAUGCAGCAACGCCACGUGUGGGAAGAAGCAUUUCGGUGUGUAAACCACUGUCGUGAGGGCAUAAUGCUUGAUUUCGGUCAAGUUGAAUGUACCUCGAAAGGAAGCACCGGCAAACUUCGUGCCAGCAGCCGCGGUAAUACGAGGGGUGCAAGCGUUGUUCGGAAUCACUGGGCGUAAAGGGAGCGUAGGCGGAGACGCAAGCAGUCUGUACAAUACCGGGGCCCAACCCCGGACCUGCAGACUGGACUGUGUCUCUUGGAUAGUUCAGGGGCAGGCGGAAUUCCUGGUGUAGCGGUGGAAUGCGUAGAGAUCAGGAAGAACACCGAUGGCGAAGGCAGCCUGCUGGGGACUCAUCGACGCUGAGGCGCGAAAGUGCGGGUAGCAAACAGGAUUAGAUACCCUGGUA
rnacentral:rRNA from 1 species